UGAAGCACAAUAAUUCAAUAGUUCAUCCUCAGCUACCUAAGUUAAGGUUGUGGUCUUAUCCUUUUUCUUAUUUUUGGGUCCAUUCCCCUUUUUCUUGUUUCACAGAUCAAGACUAUUCUUUCCUGUAACUGUCCAGUAGUUACUUCUCCCCUUUACCUUAGUUUCCUUAAAAUGGACCUUACUAUGAGUGGAUAUGGGGCAGAUUCACUAGGUUAGAUUCUCUUUCC
rnacentral:lncRNA from 1 species